AUGGAAGGGGAGAGCAUCAAUGAUCUAUGUCUGACCAGACAAAUGAAGAUGAUUUGUUUUCUGCUCUGUGUAUUUUUGCUCUCUUUACAAGGCUCCUGUGGACAGAUUGUGAUGACUCAGUCUCCAGAUUCUAACACUGUGUCACCAGGAGAAAGUGUCACCAUCAAAUGUACAUCAAGUACUAGUUUAGUUAGUGGUGUUAACAGCUACUUAGCCUGGUACCAACAGAAACCCGGACAACCUCCUAAGCUUCUCAUCUACUUGGCAAGCACCAAACACACAGGGACCCCAGACAGGUUCAGCGGCAGUGGGUCUGGUACUGACUUCACUCUCACAAUCAGCGGAGUGCAAGCAGAAGAUGCAGCAGAUUAUUACUGUCAGCAGCAUGGGUGGAAUCCUUGCACAGUGAUACAGAGCUGUACAAAAACCUUCCUUCCUCUUUUAUUUCAUUUGCAAAACUAUUGA